GUUUCUUCUUGGCACCAAACCACUAGGUCGUCGACCCAUUCCCUUCUUAAACCAGCCGAUAUGAGGAUCCUGGCAACAGUAUUUAUGUUUAUGUUGGUCACUGGACUCGCUAGCAAUACAGUUGCUGCGAACGACGAGCCUGAAGUGGGUCACGUGACAGUUCGCCGAGGCUUCGGCUGGCCGUUUAUACUGGCAGCCUGCCACAUCUACUGCCGCAGCAUUGGUCGUCGAGGAGGUUACUAUGCUCGGGUGGUAAAUCAGAUAUGCACGUGCUACAGAUCUUAAGGAGUCCGCCACUUUUCAGCCGCCGAAGAUGACCGCUCCUCCCGAAAGGACAAAAAUUCCCGCAGGCAUUUUCUCAAGGACGUACGAAGGUACUCUACCAUCGAAGGGACUCCUUGCUAGAAUGGAAAAAAAUUAGUCCGAACGCUUUAGUAUUAUGAUAAGUAGCUGUGGUGAGGCGCGUUUUCGUUCUUCAUUAAAA